rnacentral:rRNA from 1 species
CUCAAUGAAAUUCAAUAGCCGCAAUAUUUGUGCUAAGGUAGCAUAAUCAUUUGUCUUUUAAUUAAAGACUAGAACGAAAGAUUUAACAUUUUUAUUUCUAUCUAACAUAUAAACAUCUAAUUUAUUUCAAAUAUUAAAAAAUAUUUAUAAUAUAAGAAGACGAUAAGACCCUAUUGAACUUAACUAAAGUUAAACUGGGGUAGUUAAUUAAAUAUUAUUUUAAUUUAUUAUCCAAAAACAACCUAAUAUAAUUAAAUAUCAAGUUACCAUAGGGAUAACAGCGCAAUAAUUUUCUAAAGUUCUUAUUAAAAAAAUCAAUUACGACCUCGAUGUUGAAUUAAUAAUCUAUUAAAUGCAAUAAUUAAUAAGAAAGUC